rnacentral:rRNA from 1 species
AAUGAACGUUGGCGGCAUGGAUUAGGCAUGCAAGUCGAGCGAGAAGUGUAGCAAUACACGGAAAGCGGCGGAAGGGAGAGUAAUACGUGGGAAUCUGCCCUUAGACCUGGGAUAGCAGCGGGAAACUGCUGGUAAUACCAGAUAAUGUCUAUGGACCAAAGGUGUGAUUCCGUCUAGGGAUGAGCCCACGUCCUAUUAGCUAGUUGGUAGGGUAAUGGCCUACCAAGGCGAUGAUGGGUAGCGGGUGUGAGAGCAUGACCCGCCUCACUGGGAAUGAGACACUGCCCAGACACCUACGGGUGGCGGCAGUCGAGAAUCUUCGGCAAUGGGCGCAAGCCUGACCGAGCGAUGCCGCGUGCGGGAUGAAGGCCUUCGGGUUGUAAACCGCUGUCGAGGGGGAGCAACUUCCAUAGAGUUAUCUUUAUGGAUUGAGUGAUCCCUGGAGGAAGGACGGGCUAAGUUCGUGCCAGCCGCCGCCGUAACAC